rnacentral:rRNA from 1 species
GAUGAACGCUGACAGAAUGCUUAACACAUGCAAGUCUUUGGCGAAGCUGUGCUUGCACAGCCUAGCCAAGGCGGACGGGUGAGUAACGCGUAAGGAACUUGCCCUGCAGUCAGGGAUAACAGACGGAAACGACUGAUAAGACCUGGUAAAGUCAGGCGGACUCAUGUCCAGCCUGAUGAAAAGAGAUGCUGCAGGGGAGCCUUGCGUCCUAUUAGCUUGUUGGUGGGGUAACGGCCCACCAAGGCGAUGAUAGGUAGCCGGCCUGAGAGGGUGGACGGCCACAAGGGGACUGAGAUACGGCCCUUACUCCUACGGGAGGCAGCAGUGGGGAAUAUUGGACAAUGGGGGCAACCCUGAUCCAGCAAUUCUGUGUGCACGAUGAAGGUUUUCGGAUUGUAAAGUGCUUUCAGCAGGGAAGAAAAAAUGACGGUACCUGCAGAAGAAGCGACGGCUAAAUACGUG